rnacentral:tRNA from 1 species
GGGGGUAUAGCUCAAGGGUAGAGCGUAUGCUUAGCAUGCAUGAGGUCCUAGGUUCAAUCCCCAAUACCUCCA